rnacentral:rRNA from 1 species
AAGGAUUAAGUUACUAAGGGCGUAUGGGGGAUGCCUAGGCUCUCAGAGACGAAGAAGGACGUGUUAAGCUGCGAAAAGCUGUGGGGAUCUGCCAAAGAGAAAUGAUCCGCAGAUAUCCGAAUGGGGAAACCCUCCUGAUUUAUCAGGACGAAAGGACAACCCGCUGAACUGAAACAUCUAAGUAAGCGGAGGAAGAGAAAAUAAAAAUGAUUCCCUGAGUAGUGGCGAGCGAAACGGGAAGAGCCCAAACCAAUAAUGUUUCGGCAUUAUUGGGGUUGUAGGACUGCAACAUUGUUACAUAACGCAAAGUAGAACUGUAUGGAAAGACAGACAAAACAGGGUGACAGUCCCGUACACGUAAACAAUAUGAACAUAGCAGUAUCCUGAGUAGCGCGGGGUCGGAGACGCCUUGCGUGAAACUGCCAGCACCAUCUGGUAAGGCUAAAUACUACUGAGAGACCGAUAGUGAACUAGUACUGUGAAGGAAAGGUGAAAAGAAUCUCGAAUAGAGAAGUUAAAUAGAACCUGAAACCAUACGCUUACAAGCGGUCAGAGUCCCUAAGUGGGAUGAUGGCGUGCCUUUUGCAUAAUGAGCCUACGAGUUGCUCCUUACUAGCAAGGUUAAGAAUUUAAGGUUCGAAGCCGAAGCGAAAGCGAGUCUGAAUAGGGCGUAAAGUUAGUAGGGGCAGACGCGAAACCUGAGUGAUCUACCCAUGGGCAGGAUGAAGUGUCGGUAACACGACAUGGAGGUCCGAACUCAUUAGCGUUGAAAAGCUACGGGAUGACCUGUGGGUAGGGGUGAAAGGCUAAUCAAACUGGGAGAUAGCUCGUACUCCCCGAAAUGUUUUUUGGAACAGCCUCGCAGUUGAGUGUCAUAGAGGUAGAGCUACUAAUUGGGUGAGGGGGUGUCAAAGCCUACCGAGCUCAGAUAAACUCCGAAUACUACUGACAUAUAUGCGGGAGUGAGCCCUUGGGUGCUAAGGUCCGAGGGCGAGAGGGAAAGAACCCAGACCAUCAGCUAAGGUCUCCAAAUUUAAUCUAAGUUGAACUAACGUGGUUCAAUCGCAAAGACAGCUAGGAUGUUUGCUUGGAAGCAGCCAUUCAUUUAAAGAGUGCGUAACAGCUCACUAGUCGAGCGAUUGAGCGUGGAUGAUAAACGGGCAUCAAGAUUAAUACCGAAGCUAUGGGAUCUGAAAUACGAUCGGUAGGGGAGCAUUCUAACAGCGGUGAAGGUGUAACGUGAGUUAUGCUGGAGCGGUUAGAAAAGCCAAUGUAGGCAUAAGUAACGAUAAUGCAGGCGAGAAACCUGCACUCCGAAAGACUAAGGUUUCCUGAUCAACGUUAAUCGAAUCAGGGUUAGUCGGGACCUAAGGCGAAGCGAUAUAGCGUAGUCGAUGGACAACAGGUUAAUAUUCCUGUACCAGUUGAGAGGGACGGAGAGACGUGGUAACUACGUACUGACGGAAUAGUACGUUGAGCUGAGUCUUCGGACAAAGCGAAGUUACAAAAUCUCUUCCAAGAAAAGCUCCAACAUUAGCCCGUACCGUAAACCAACACAGGUAGUCGGGAUGAAUAUUCUAAGGAGCUCGAGUGAACCACGGUUAAGGAACUCGGCAAAUUAACCCUGUAACUUCGGGAAAAGGGGUGCCUCACUUCGGUGGGGCCGCAGAGAAAUGGCCCAGGCGACUGUUUAUCAAAAACACAUGGCUUUGCAAAAUCGAAAGAUAAAGUAUAAGGCCUGACACCUGCCCGGUGCUGGAAGGUUAAGAGGGGAUGUUAGCGUAAGCGAAGCAUUGAAUCGAAGCCCCAGUAAACGGCGGCCGUAACUAUAACGGUCCUAAGGUAGCGAAAUUCCUUGUCGGGUAAGUUCCGACCUGCACGAAUGGUGUAACGAUCUGGGCGCUGUCUCAACCGUGAGCUCGGUGAAAUUGUGGUAUCGGUGAAGACGCCGGUUAAUCGCAUCGGGACGGAAAGACCCCAUGCACCUUUACUAUAGCUUUGCAUUGACUUUGGGUAAAUGAUGUGUAGGAUAGGCGGGAGACUAUGAAUUAGUGUCGCUAGGCAUUAAGGAGUCAACCUUGAAAUACCGCCCUUUAUUUACUUGGAGUCUAACCAUUAUAAAUGGGACAUUGCAUGGUGGGUAGUUUGACUGGGGUGGUCGCCUCCAAAAUUGUAUCGGAGGCUUCUAAAGGUUCUCUCAGUACGCUUGGUAACCGUACGUAGAGUGUAAUAGCACAAGAGAGCUUGACUGUGAGGCAUACAAGCCGAGCAGGUACGAAAGUAGAGUAUAGUGAUCCGGUGGUUCUGUAUGGAAGGGCCAUCGCUCAUAGGAUAAAAGGUACGCUGGGGAUAACAGGCUGAUCUCCCCCAAGAGCUCAUAUCGACGGGGAGGUUUGGCACCUCGAUGUCGGCUCGUCACAUCCUGGGGCUGGAGAAGGUCCCAAGGGUUGAGCUGUUCGCUCAUUAAAGUGGCACGCGAGCUGGGUUCAGAACGUCGUGAGACAGUUCGGUCCCUAUCUGAUGUGAUCGUUGGAAGUUUGAGAGGAUCUGACCUUAGUACGAGAGGACCGGGUUGGACAUACCUCUGGUGUAUCUGUUGUGGCGCCAGCUGCAUUGCAGAGUAGCUAUGUAUGGACAAGAUAAGCGCUGAAAGCAUCUAAGCACGAAACUUACCUCAAGAUGAGACUUCCUUUAAGGGUCGUAGAAGACUACUACGUUGAUAGGUUGCAAAUGUAAAGAUGGUAACAUCAUAGUUGAGCAAUACUAAUUACCCGUAGACUUAACAUUU